GUCAUAGGAUAAAGGGUGAGAAAGAGCGUGGAGAUUAAAAAUAUCAACAAACACACAAGCAGAACAGAACAGUCGCUGCCGCCACCCCAAAAACACAAUAGGAAAUUCAAUAAACAUAGCCUAGGCCCGGGUUUCGGAGCAGCCAUACAAGUUUCCCGAUACACACACACUGACAUUCAAAUUAACUGUUUAUCACGUACAAACAAUAACAACUACAAUAUGACAACCAGAGAGCGGCAUUCGGUGAGAGAGCAUAGCGUGAAAUUUUGUUUGGAAUGCGUGUACUCUCAUACACACAAACACAUGCAAAGGCUACAUUAAUUGAAGUGUCUAUCAGAAAUAGCUGAAUGACGUAAUGCACGGUGCUUGGAAUUAUGAGCAAUGACAACUUGCUUACUUAACUCGAAUUUGAAAAAAGCCCUAAGUUCACGUCCCGAUUUCAAAAUUUAAGAAAUGCAUACACCAAAAUGCGCAAUCGAUAACUUUAUUCUUUAAUUCAUUUAAUAAUGAUUUCCACCCAUCCGCUUUGCAUUAAAAUGUCCUUCGUACAUAAAUUGAAGCCAAAGCCAAGGACAAUGUAAGGAAUCCGGCAUAGACGUAUAGGUUUGGACAAAUAGGCAAAUAAAAUUGAGUGUCACUCAUAUAAACAUUCACACACAUAAGCACACGGGCAAGAUAGAUGCUCUCUCACUUUCUCUCGCACCAGCCUGAAGUUGCCGCAAAACACCACCCGAUGACGUACACAUAGGCACACAGUAUUGACUUUUUCUACUGCCUGAACCAACACACUCAAAUAGCAUAUACAUUAAUUGGAGCUACAUAGAUACUUUUCACAUGCAGAAGAUUUUGCAGUUUUCACACACUUUUCACCACAAAGUACUAACAUGUUUUGUAAAUUAAACAUUCAUUAAUUAAUCAUCGUUACUAAAUAAAGUUGUUCAUUUGUUUUUUUGCA